CCCUUAGAUGUUCUGGGCCGCACGCGCGCUACACUGAUUCAUGCAACAAGUUUUGUCCUUGGCUGAUAGGCCUGGGUAAUCUUUGAACGUGAAUCGUGAUGGGGAUAGAUGAUUGCAAUUAUUCAUCUUCAACGAGGAAUUCCUAGUAAACGCAAGUCAUCAGCUUGCAUUGAUUACGUCCCUGCCCUUUGUACACACCGCCCGUCGCACCUACCGAUUGAAUGGUCCGGUGAAAUCUUCGGAUCUGAGAGAUGGCUGAUUAAUUUCGGACGCCUUUUGGAAAAGUUGUUUAAACCUUACCAUUUAGAGGAAGGUGAAGUCGUAACA
rnacentral:rRNA from 1 species